AGAGUUUGAUCCUGGCUCAGAAUGAACGCUGGCGGCGUGCCUAACACAUGCAAGUCGAGCGAGAAAUCACACUUCGGUGUGAGAGUAGAGCGGCGCACGGGUGAGUAACGCGUGGAUAAUCUACCCAUGGAUUGGGGAUAACCCUGCGAAAGCGGGGCUAAUACCUGAUAGUCUGGUCAUUAUAUAGAUGAUCGGUAAAGGUGGCCUCUGAUACAAGCUACUGUCCGUGGAUGAGUCCGCGUCUCAUUAGCUGGUUGGUGGGGUAAUGGCCUACCAAGGCGACGAUGAGUAGCUGGUCUGAGAGGAUGAUCAGCCACACUGGGACUGGAACACGGCCCAGACUCCUACGGGAGGCAGCAGUGGGGAAUAUUGGGCAAUGGGCGCAAGCCUGACCCAGCAACGCCGUGUGAGGGAAGAAGGUUUUCGGAUCGUAAACCUCUGUCAGAAGGGAAGAAGUGGCAGAUAUUUAAUAUAUAUUUGCUUUGACGGUACCCUCAGAGGAAGCACCGGCUAACUCCGUGCCAGCAGCCGCGGUAAUACAGAGGGUGCAAGCGUUAUUCGGAAUCACUGGGCGUAAAGCGCGCGUAGGUUGCGUGGCAAGUCAGAUGUGAAGCCCCCGGCUCAACCGGGGAAC
rnacentral:rRNA from 1 species